GACGAACGCUGGCGGCGUGCCUAAUACAUGCAAGUAGAACGCAGUUGCGAACGGGUGAGUAACGCGUAGGUAACUGCCUCAUAGCGGGGGAUAACUAUUGGAAACGAUAGCUAAUACCGCAUACUGUGAGAUGGACCUGCGUUGUAUUAGCUAGUUGGUGAGGGAACGGCUCACCAAGGCGACGAUAAAUAGCCGACCUGAGAGGGUGAGCGGCACAACUUGGGACGGGAACAGGGCCAGAACCCUACGGGAAGGAGCCGUAGGGAAUUCUGCGGAAUUGAAGGGAAGCUUAACCGGGAAAGCCGGGUUAGGGAAGAAGGGUUUCGGGUCGUAAAGGUCUGGUGUUUGAGAAGCGGUAACUAACCAGAAAGGGACGGCUAACUACGUGCCAGCAGCCGCGGUAAUAC
rnacentral:rRNA from 1 species